CCCAAAAGACUAAAGAUGCAUUUCAACAAGUCUCGUAAGCAUUUUUGUAUAAAAGGGUAAAAGAGUGGCCAA
rnacentral:sRNA from 1 species